rnacentral:tRNA from 1 species
UUCAAAGUGGCUCAGAUGGUAAAGCAUCUGCCUGCAAUGCAAGAGACCCAGGUUCAAUCCCUGGGUUGGGAA